UAAUCCCAUCACUAGCUCUUGGCCCAAUAUGCCUUGCUCUGUCCUGGCUACCACUCUUGCUGUUCUUACCACUGUUUUGCAGGAGCUGGAGCUUGUUCUUGAAGGGCAGUGCACCUGGGAGAUCUGUGUGUACCUGGUCUACCUCCUGGCUCCUGCUGGGACAACCAGCUGUUUGUACCUGCUCCUCGCAACUCGUCACCUCCGUGAGAAGCUCUCCUGGCAGCAGCAGCACGGUGACUUCUCCUCACAGUGGCCUGCAAAAGGAAGCAGUAGCCCCUGCUCCCCAGGAUGCAUGCUGAAGCACGACCCUUUCCAGGAGGGUUUGUGUUGUGCCAAGCCUCGACUGAACCUGCCACGUGGGAAGGAGCCACAGCCCGUCGUGGGCAGCCUGAUCCGCUGUCACCGAUUCCUCCGAGCAUCACAGGGCUGUCUGUUCCGCAUUUCAUAUCACUGAAAUAAACAGUAUUGCUUGAGAAGCA